rnacentral:lncRNA from 1 species
AUGAUUGAGUGAUUGCACCACCCCCAGUGGGUCUGCUCAGUCUCCCGUCCCAAAAUCAGACAGGAGGAAUAGAGCAAGCAUGGGGCUUCAGAAGUAUAUGUAUCAUUUAUUGAUUCAGGCAACUCAGAGCAAGCAGCUUUUACUAAAUUUAGAACCAAGGGCAGCAGCAUGCAGGAGGGUAGGAAGGAAUAUUCAGGGCCCUCAAUUAAAACUUUCGUGAAAAUAUUAAUUUUCUAGCAUUUUCUUAACCUGGGAUUUUUCCCCCCAAUUAAAUCUAAUGUGGAGAAGCAAUAGAGCAAAGAGCUUAAGAGUGAGAGUUAAGACUCAGACUGCCUGAAUUCAAAUUCUGGUGCCGCCUUUACUAGCUGUGUGCUCUGCGGUGAGUUAAUUGCCCUCACCGAGCCUCGUUUUCUUCAUCUGCAAAAAAGGCAGUUAAUAAGGUGGCCUACUUUUGGGGUCAUAAGGAGAUUAAAGUGGGUCAGUACCUGUAAAGCCUCAGCACAGAACCUGGCACACGUUUAGUGCUUGGUAGAGGUCACUACUCUUAUUCUGUGGGGCAGACAAAAGCAGGGCUCCCUGGGUUGCCUCAGGUCUGAGGGGUCUGCAGUUCUGCCCCCUCAGCCUGUACCCACACUCCCCACGCAGGUUCUCAUUGGUACCUCUGGGGACCCUGGGUAGUGAUUAGCUGGCAUGUGUUUAACAACUGCCUCUCCAGAGGCCUGGGACGGGGGGGUGCCUGAUUUUAGUAUUUGCCAGUUUCCGCAGAGUAAUCAUUCUCAACCGUGGCCAAUUUUAUUUUAUUUUAUGAUUUUAAUUUUUUUCCAUUACAGCUGUUUUACAAUGUUCUGUCAAUUUUCUACUGCACAGCAAGGUGACCCAGUCACACGUACAUGUAUACAUUCUUUUUUCUCACAUCAUCAUGCUCCAUUGCAAGUGACCAGACAUAGUUCCCAGUGCUAUACAGCAGGAUCCCAUUGCUUAUCCAUUCCAAAGGCAAUAGUUUGCAUCUAUGAACCCCAAAUUCCCAAUCCAUCCCACUCCCUCCCCCUCCUCCUUGGUAACUUUAAGUCUGUUCUCCAUGUAAUCAUGGCCAAUUUGUUUUAUUAUUAUUACUCAAUGAAUUUAUUACAUUUCUAGUUGUACAAUGAUCAUUGGAUUGUGGUAAUCAUGGCCACUUUUAAAAUACCACCUGAGUCACUGGACAUGGACUUGGGAAGAGAUGUAGGCACAUGGCUUCUUCAGCACACCAUGGCCCAGGACUGAGGAGCCUAGUGUGCCCAGAGAACCUUGGUCCCUCCGAGCUCUGGCUUUGUAUGUAUGUUCUGCCUCGGGGUAAUGCAAGAUUCCCCAAAUGUUGGACAAACAUCAGGGAAUGGGCAGGGUGUGGAGCAAGAAGAAAAGAGUUUGGAGAGUUCAGGGUCUUGGUUUUAUGUCUAAUCCAAAAGGCAGUGUGUCUGACAGCUCUGUGGCUCUUAAUUAGGUGAGAUUGCAUCAGCAGAACCGCUUCCUGUGGCUCAAAGGCUUUCCCUUCGAGUGCAACUACUCAAUUACUGCUCAGGCCCAUUGGGCAACGAGCCUCAGCCAAGGGAGGAGAGCAGGGCAUAAUGGUGUGCCCUGCAGACCGUCAAGGACAGGGCGUGCGUGUGCACAUGCACACAUGAGGGUAACACAGGCCAGGGUGGGCUGAGAGUCCUGGACUUACAAACUCAGGGUUUAUCCUACUGGAGGAAACCUGGGAGCCAGAGACAUCACAUCAAAAAGCGCUGGACUGGAAAACCAGGCACCUGGCUUUGAGGCCCUGCAUGUGUGACUUUGUUUCCCCUUCUGAGAAUAUAAGACUAAGAUGCCCACCUCGGCCUUCAUCACAGGCAUGUUGUAGGAUCCAGUGAAAUGAUACCCAUGGGAGCUCCAUAUGAUAGAAAGGAUUAAGCUUAUUCAUCAGAGACGUGGCAAAAUAUUCCUGGGCUGGGCAAAAGCCUCCAAAACCAGUCCGCUGCUAGGGCAGGUAUCAGACACCCACGCACAUCCCCACCAAGAAAAAUGGGAGCACUUGGAAGGGUAUUCAUGGCCUGAGACUGGAACCAGAAUGUUGCAGGCGACAAGCAAGGGACUCUUCAUCACUUGUCGCAGGAGGUGUGAGAGCACCUCGCCUCUGCCCCACGAAGCAAGGAUAAUCAAAGCCUCUGAGUUUCAGUUCUUAAACUCUGAAGAAAGGCGUCUGACUGGCUCAGAUGGGCCUUUCGAGCAAGGUCACCCAAAUCAUGGGUGGUCGGCUAGCCUGUGGAGGGGCUGCCCUUCAGACAUGGCUGGGAAGGGGCCACGCAGCACGGAGAGAACCCGAACGCUUAAGACAGGACAGACUGCUGCACAGCCAGCACAGGAAGCAGCCUCUCACAACCCCCUGACUUCUUUGGACACGCUUCCAGUCUUUUUGUGGCCCCUACACACUCAGUGAUAAAAUUCUGAAAGACCUUGUGGCUGGCACCUGAGACCACUUGAAGGCUGCACAAAAGGUGCAGGUGUUGGUGCGGGGGACGGUGCGGGUGGUUGAGCCGUAAGUGGAAGAAGUGCCUCCGUCUCAGAGUUAAGGCUCUUCUGUAAAUAGGGGCCGAGUGGCUGUCCUUUGUAGAACGUUUGAGCCCUGAUUCAUUUCUCUCCCUGCCUUUGAGUCUCACUAGCCUAGUCAGGCAAAGGGCAGUGAAUUGUCUUCCUUGUGGGGUGUUCAUGAAGAAUUCAGCAGCGUCCGUACGCAUGAGGUUGAGUCACGUGAAAUUGUGAUGUUCUUGGGUCCAAAAUGGUCUGUUGUCGGCAAUUUCAACGUAAGAGAAAGUUUGCAGUAAAAUACUUUUCCUUGAUUCCUUCACUUGACCGUGACCUCCUCCACCAGAAAAUAUUGAAACCUCAGCUCCCUGCCUCGGGGUCAUUUACAGCUCAACACAAGUGUGUAAUGGACAAAACACCUCUCCCCCGUUGUGCAGACAGGCGGCUUUAGUGCAGACAGCACCUUGUAAACGCCCUGCCCUCUGCUCUCUAGAGAGGGGGACUCGCCGUGCACGGCGCCAGACAAUGAAAGCUCUGUGCUCCCAGGGUGGAAACUUCCAGGAUGAGUCUUCUCUUCAAUCACAUUGGGUUAUUUUGUUUUGGUUUUUUCUCUUUCCUAGAAAUUGGAGUAAUUGCAAAUGU